rnacentral:rRNA from 1 species
AGUAGAGUGGCAGACGGGUGAGUAACACGUGGGUAACCUACCCUGAAGUGAGGAAUAACCUGCCGAAAGGCGGGCUAAUACCGCAUAACAUCCUCGAGACAUAGGUCUUGGGGAUCAAAGCCCGAAAGGGCGCUCCAGGAGGGACCCGCGCCUGAUUAGCUAGUUGGUAGGGUAACGGCCUACCAAGGCUCCGAUCAGUAGCCGGCCUGAGAGGGUGAACGGCCACACUGGAACUGAGACACGGUCCAGACUCCUACGGGAGGCAGCAGUGGGGAAUUUUGCGCAAUGGGCGAAAGCCUGACGCAGCAACGCCGCGUGGGUGACGAAGUCCCUUGGGACGUAAAACCCUGUCGGGUGGGACGAAAUAUCCCGCAAGGGAGACUGACUGUACCAUCAAAGGAAGCCCCGGCUAACUCCGUGCCAGCAGCCGCGGUAAUACGGGGGGGGCAAGCGUUGUUCGGAAUUACUGGGCGUAAAGGGCGUGUAGGCGGCUUGGUAAGUCAGUUGUGAAAGCCCCAGGCUCAACUUGGGAAUUGCAACUGAAACUGCCUGGCUAGAGUUCAGGAGAGGAGAGCGGAACUCCCAGUGUAGCGGUGAAAUGCGUAGAUAUUGGGAGGAACACCGGUGGCGAAGGCGGCUCUCUGGACUGAAACUGACGCUGAGGCGCGAAAGCCAGGGGAGCAAACGGGAUUAGAUACCCCGGUAGUCCUGGCCGUAAACGAUGGGCACUGGUGUUGGAGGUAUUGAGUCCUCCAGUGCCGAAGUUAACACAUUAAGUGCCCCGCCUGGGGAGUACGGUCGCAAGACUGAAACUCAAAGGAAUUGACGGGGGCCCGCACAAGCGGUGGAGCAUGUGGUUCAAUUCGACGCAACGCGAAGAACCUUACCGGGGCUCGAACGGUGCCUGAAU